GAACAUGAUCGAUGGUUUGGGCAUCACUGGAUAUGAGGGCAUCUUCAUGAGGGUAUGUGAAAUCACUCUCACAGUGUUGAGGACACAUAGGGAGACAUUGAUGAGCAUACUGGAGACAUUCAUCCAUGAUCCUCUUGUGGAGUGGACAAAAACACACAAAUCAAGCGGAGUAGAAGUUCAGAACCCACAUGCUCAGCGGGCCAUAAGCAGCAUUGAAGCCCGGUUGCAGGGCGUGGUUGUUGGUGUUCCACUACCGGUAGAAGGUCAGGCUCACCGGUUGAUUGCUGAUGCAGUCUCACUUGAGAAUCUUGGGAAGAUGUACAUCUGGUGGAUGCCCUGGUUCUGAUGAAAAUCCCUGAACCCCUCUGUUGGUUGCACGCUACACCAGUUUGCAUAAUACCACUUAUGCUAAUACAUGACCCAAGGAAAUCGGGAGUAUAUGAUCCUAGGAGUAUUUGAGUGCACCUCUCCAGUAAACUAAGAAAGAUCACUAUCAUCUUCUUCCUCUGUACUAGUACCGUGGAGCCACUUCGAGACACCCGCAUUGCCCCCUGCAGCAAACCUAUUUGAAUUUACCAAGACCUUGAUCCACCACUGUCCUCGGUGGCCUCCCUGACGUAGGCUGCAGGUAAGCCAAAGCCGCUUGCUUCACCAGUGGGUUCCUUAUCGGUAUCUCUGAGCAGCUCCCACGACGGUACAUUGCUGGUGAUUUCACAGGUGAGGCUGGAGGCAGAGGUAUAUCCCAGAGAGAUGUGUACUUAAACAUCACUGAUUUUCCCAGACUUUCACCCGGGUUCGCCAUAGUUUUGGACAAGCCAGAACGUGAUGAAGACUAGCUGUGGCGAAAAUAUUGCUGACAAUUUUCUCAUUAGAAAACUUGGGUUUGUGUCAACUUCGUCUUCUUCAGGGUUAUUAUUAUAUGUUGGUGCCAUACUUUCUAAUUUUAGUUUUUAGAGAAAGAACAGCUAUCAUGAUCGUGCUCCAGCGCAUGACUGUCUAUAUAAGCAGUCAAUAAUGUCUUAAUAUCCUAUAUAUGUGGAUAAACUAGGAUUUAAGUACUAUUUCAUAAUAUAGGAUGUUUAGAGGAUUA